rnacentral:rRNA from 1 species
CAGCCGCCGCGGUAAUACGUAGGGUGCGAGCGUUAAUCGGAUUUACUGGGCGUAAAGCGUGCGCAGGCGGCCCGUUAAGACAGGUGUGAAAUCCCUGGGCUCAACCUAGGAAUUGCGCUUGUGACUGGCGGGCUCGAGUACGGUAGAGGGGGGUGGAAUUCCUGGUGUAGCAGUGAAAUGCGUAGACAUCCGGAGGAACACCGAUGGCGAAGGCAGCCCCCUGGGCCUGUACUGACGCUCAUGCACGAAAGCGUGGGGAGCAAACAGGAUUAGAUACCCUGGUAGUCCACGCCCGAAACGAUGGGUACUAGCCGUUUGGUGCGCGAUAGCGCUGAGUGGCGAAGCUAACGCGUGAAGUACCCCGCCUGGGGAGUACGGCCGCAAGGUUGAAACUUAAAGGAAAUGGCGGG